UAUAUAGCUCACGAGUUGGUUAAAGGAAAUAACAGAGGGUUUAAAAUAGCAAGAUAGUUAAGUUUCUUGUUAAAAAUUUGAUUAAAAAUUAAUUAAUUAAUUUGAUAAUUAAAAUUAAUUUAAAAGUUAAUUUAAUAAUAAAUAAAAUUUAUAAAGUGAUUCCUUUAAUUAAUAAUACUAUUUAAAUUAUUGAAACAUAAGUAAAAAAAUAAAAUCAUUUAAAUCUUGAAACGUAUUUAUAAAUAAACUAAACGACUUUAGGGAGAUAAAUUGAGUAGCUAAGACUGUUUAACAAAGACAUAUUUGAAUUUUUAAUAUAGCUUGCCCGGUGCUAAUAAGUAAACGGCCACUUAGUGCUAAGGUAGCACAAUCAUUAGUUUUUUAAUUGAAGACUAGUAUGAAAAGCAAAACUUAGCCCAUAAUUCUACCUAAAUUUUUUUAAAUUUAAUCCUAAGUGAAAAUGCUUAGAUAGUAGCUAUAGACGAGAAGACCCUAAAACCUUAACAAUUUAAUUGGGACAAUUCUAAAGAAAAAUAAAUUUUUUAUAUUAAUUUACCCUAUAUAGUUUAAUAAAGGUACUUUAGGGAUAACAGCAUAAAUUAGAAAAUGAGCACUAAUCAAUUUCUUUAUAUGUGACCUCGAUGUUGAAUUAAGGAUCCUCCUCAAGCACAAAUGAGAGCAGGGGUAGUCUGUUCGACUAGCAAGCCUUACAUGAUUUGAGUUAAGAUCGACGCAAGUCAGAUUGGAUUCUAUCUUAGGUUUAAAAAGCUUUAAUUAGUACGAAAGGAACGUUAAAACAUUUAAUUUUUAUUUAUAUAAAUGUCCUAUGGGAGGUUUUGGGAGAUAAGAGUGUGAGACUAUGGAAAAAAGGAAGAAAAAGAAAAAAAAGGGGGGGGGGGGGUAGAACCGAUGUAUGAUA
rnacentral:rRNA from 1 species